GCUGGCGGCAGGCCUAACACAUGCAAGUCGAGCGCACCUUCGGGUGAGCGGCGGACGGGUUAGUAACGCGUGGGAACGUACCCUUUUCUACGGAAUAGCCUUUGGAAACGAAGAGUAAUACCGUAUACGCCCUUUGGGGGAAAGAUUUAUCGGAGAAGGAUCGGCCCGCGUUAGAUUAGAUAGUUGGUGGGGUAACGGCCUACCAAGUCUACGAUCUAUAGCUGGUUUUAGAGGAUGAUCAGCAACACUGGGACUGAGACACGGCCCAGACUCCUACGGGAGGCAGCAGUGGGGAAUCUUAGACAAUGGGCGCAAGCCUGAUCUAGCCAUGCCGCGUGAGUGAUGAAGGCCUUAGGGUCGUAAAGCUCUUUCGCCUGUGAUGAUAAUGACAGUAGCAGGUAAAGAAACCCCGGCUAACUCCGUGCCAGCAGCCGCGGUAAUACGGAGGGGGUUAGCGUUGUUCGGAAUUACUGGGCGUAAAGCGCACGUAGGCGGAUUGGAAAGUUGGGGGUGAAAUCCCGGGCUCAACCCCGGAACUGCCUCCAAAACUAUCAGUCUAGAGUUCGAGAGAGGUGAGUGGAAUUCCAAGUGUAGAGGUGAAAUUCGUAGAUAUUUGGAGGAACACCAGUGGCGAAGGCGGCUCACUGGCUCGAUACUGACGCUGAGGUGCGAAAGUGUGGGGAGCAAACAGGAUUAGAUACCCCUGGUAGUCCACACCGUAAACGAUGAAUGCCAGUCGUCGGCAGUAUACUGUUCGGUGACACACCUACGGAUUA
rnacentral:rRNA from 1 species